AAUCAACGCUGGCGGCGUGCCUCAGACAUGCAAGUCGAACGCGAAAGUCCCCUUCGGGGACGAGUAGAGUGGCGCACGGGUGAGUAACACGUAGGUAAUCUACCUUUGGGUGGGGAAUAACAGCCGGAAACGGCUGCUAAUACCGCAUAAUGCAGCGGCUCGACAUCGAGACAGUUGUUAAAGCGGGGGAUUCGCAAGAACCUCGCGCCUAAAGAGGAGCCUGCGGCGGAUUAGCUAGUUGGUGAGGUAAUGGCUCACCAAGGCGACGAUCUGUAACCGGCCUGAGAGGGCGGUCGGUCACACUGACACUGACAUACGGGUCAGACUCCUACGGGAGGCAGCAGUCGGGAAUUUUGGGCAAUGGGCGCAAGCC
rnacentral:rRNA from 1 species